AGGUUCUUUGGUUUGUGUGCAGGUGUAUCACAAGGAAAAAUUCCCAGAAGUAGGAUUGCCAGGCCAAAGAGUUUUGGGAAUGCAGCGUCAGCUCCACCCGGGGGCCCUGUGGCUUCCGUCCUCUCCUGGAGAGGUGACCAGCCAAGGAGUCAGGCCCCCUUCGUUCUGAGGAAGGGGGAACAACAUCUGCUGUGGCAUGUGCCCUGCCUGCCUCAUCGCUCACCUGGCUUUAAACACAGAGAGAAUCAAUACAAGCUAGAAGCUAGACAGCGGGCCCUCCUCCCUGUGUUUAAGCUCACACAGCCAUGUCCGAUGCUGUGGAGAGGGCUAAUUUCAGUCAGACUCAGACCCUCAUUUAAUUUUACUGGGCAUAACAAUGAAGCCAAACUGGAAAGCAGAACCAUUGAAUAGGACCUGGGUUUGAAGGAUUUUGGAAAAUAUUCUUGGAACCUUGAAAGGCUGGCUUCCCAAAGUGUUUCUCAAUCCCUGUCUUUUUUUCUUUCUUCUGUGGUUUCCUUUUUCCUUCUUCCCCUUCCUCCUUUUCUCUGCCCUUUGUUCUCCCUCCAGAAACACAUAACCUAGCAUUUACUGGGAUUGUGCCUUUGAUGUAGGUGGGGGACAGGAGAAUGGAAGGCACCGUGCCUGUCCUCAGGGGACCAAUUGCUCAGCAUGGGGGCAACAUGGGGCGAUGAAGUUGCAAGGGAGGGUGGAUGUCAGAUGAGCCGAGUCUUGAAGAAAAGGUAAGAGUUACCUGGUCAUCUCUAUUCUUUUGGUGGUCAUUUGUCUUCCUCAACACUCUCCUUUCAUACCCUCUGCCAUCCACUAGGCUGUCACUGGAGAAAGAACCUGGCAGCCAGCAGUAAACUCUGACAUCUUCUUAUGGCCAUUUCUGGCCUCAUCUCCUGGGUAAAGAAAUCACUCUUAAAUGCAAACCCUCUAAAUUUCCUGACUCUCCAGAAGUACCCAAAGUAAAGUUUCAAACACCCAAUCACCUGCCCACUUUUAAUUAGAACUGGCAAGUCUUCUCAGCUAUGGCGGCCACUUAACAUUUCUGCAAUUCUCUUAGAACACGAACAGACUUUCAAGUCUCUUUCCUGUUGCUCACAGUGUUCCUGGCUGCCAAGGUAGAUUUUGCUGUUGUCUCUAUUUUCACUCAUGCCCCGGCCACACCAACACUUGUAAAGGGGCCAAAAACAUAAUUUGGCUUCCAGCCUAGAGCCAAAUUUAUCAUCCACUCUUUCCCUGGCAUCACACUUGUGCUCCCAACAGUAACCUCUGGUGCCUGGCUCAACUGUAGCCUAAAGGAGUUAAUGGCCAAGAAGUCAAAACCAACUCUUAGUGAGACGAGCUUUAGAAUGCUGACAUGGCAGUCACCAGAUCUGCAAAAUGGUAUUCAGCAAAGUGUGAGGUUGUUAUGAGACCAAAUACUAAACUCAAUAUAUGAGACUUUAACAGUAGGUACCAGAGAGACUUGCUUUUGGGUCCUCUUUUUGCAGAAUCCUUAGGAGCAGGAUGUCAGUUACACACAUUGCUUUACAGAUGCUGCAUCCAGAGUCAAGAAGACAGUCUGAGGGGUCUGGAGGUUGCUGUCUGCCUGGUGAUCAGAAUACUGCCCUUGUGGUAUAUAGCAAAUCAGAAGAGGGGGUCAUUGGACCACAUCACCUGCAUCUCCUGGGAGCUUGUUAGAAAUGCUGAAUCUCGGGCUCACACUUGACCUGCAGAAACAGAAUCUGCAUAUUGACAAGAUCACCAGGUGAUUUGCAUGCCCAUUACUGUUUGAGGCAACAAAACACUUUCGCAUACAUAAAAUCUUCCUCUGAGGAAGGCAGAGGAAAUGGAAGAUUUGAGAAGGUGAGUGAUUCUCUCAGGUCACAUGGCUGGCACCGGACAUUUCUUAACUCCUACUUAUUUGGAGCUCCUUCCACUGAAGCACUAUGUCUCCUGCCGAUAGUCAGGAGAAAAUGAUGGUGGCCACGUAGGCUUUCAUUGAGCUCUCAUCACAUGCCAUGCAUUGUUCUGAUUGGAUCUAUGAGGUGGGAGCCUUUAUCUUUCUCAUUUUUCAAUUAGGUAAGUGAUGGAGCACCAGAAUCAACUAGUAUGUUCCAGACUUCAUUUGAGUUGCCCACACUGAAAGUUGGAUUUUGAAUUUCCCAGUAGUAACUGUCAAGUAGUAAGGAAAUGAGGGAAUAAACAGGAACCUAGCUGUGUGACACUGGGCAUGUCACAUCACCGCAGGUUACUUAUCCAAGAAAUGAGGUUGAACUGGAAGAUCUUAAAGGCAUCUUGAAGGCAAUUCCCAGCACUGACAUUUUAGGAUUCUAAAUAUUUCUAAAUCCUUUGUUUGAUAUCUACUGAUGGCUUUUCUUCUGAGCAUCUUUGAUUUAGGAUCAGACACUGUCAGCCCAGGUCAGAGGAUGGGGGAAGGGGAUUGAAGGCAGAGGCACAUUUUGCCAUGAGUGGGAUAGAUGACAAGCCCCAGGUCCACAUCUAGCACCUGCCUGCUGGCCAGUCACAACCCCGUUUAUGUGUGGCAUCGUGAGAUAAACUCCAGUACUACUGUCCUGUAGAAGUUUCGGAGACGAAUUUACCACCACUCCUUGCAGCUGCAUCACACCUAGUUCAGCUGGCAAGAGGAUGCUUUUAAAGAGGAAAAGGUGAUCAGGCCUGAAGUGUUGCCUACAAACUCAGCGUCACAGAAUGAGUUAACUGGCAAUGAAUCAGAAACAUGGUGCUCAACAAGCUUCUCUCAGAUUAUGUACUGUUUAAUAAUCUAGGGAAUCACUAUUUGUCAAAACAGUUGGAGCUUGUUACCAAAUACAGGACAUCUGAGACCCAGUUUGAAAUGUAUUGUCAAACACGCCAGAGUCUCCAGGGCCAGAUUAAUGCAUUUUAGCUCCAUCCACGGGAGAUUAUUUUCCGAGUGUACCAUUUGGUGAUGGUGACUCAGAAUAGGGUCUGAUGAGAACUGAGGUUUAAAAGACACCUGGCCGAUUAUGCAUAAGUAAAUACAGCAUAAAACAAAUCACAAGCAAGCACUACUUUAGUCACAGUGCAAAAGAACACACACUUGCUGCUUCUAUUUUUAGAAAAUUAAUGAACGAUUUUAGUUAUGGCAAAACAACCCUGCAGAACAAGGGUCAGUUUGCUCUUUAAUCAAGAAGCUUUGCCAAAUAUUUACUAAAAUAGGGCAGACUCCUUGUAAAAGUAUAAAUAGUUUUGUUUCUUAUUUAAAAUAAAAAGGUCCCUGGCACCUUAUAUGGUCUGAUCCUUUGAUAGCACUCAAGUGUUUCUAUAGUAGGAUUUCCAUUGUGGUCUCUGCUAAGGAAAAAAGAAACAAGAUUGCAGCACGAGGUUGGAGAAAAAUGAUGCUUCACAUAAAAAUCC
rnacentral:lncRNA from 1 species